rnacentral:rRNA from 1 species
AGAGUUUGAUCAUGGCUCAGAUUGAACGCUGGCGGCAGGCCUAACACAUGCAAGUCGAGCGGUAGCACAGAGAGCUUGCUCUCGGGUGACGAGCGGCGGACGGGUGAGUAAUGUCUGGGAAACUGCCUGAUGGAGGGGGAUAACUACUGGAAACGGUAGCUAAUACCGCAUAAUGUCGCAAGACCAAAGUGGGGGACCUUCGGGCCUCAUGCCAUCAGAUGUGCCCAGAUGGGAUUAGCUAGUAGGUGGGGUAACGGCUCACCUAGGCGACGAUCCCUAGCUGGUCUGAGAGGAUGACCAGCCACACUGGAACUGAGACACGGUCCAGACUCCUACGGGAGGCAGCAGUGGGGAAUAUUGCACAAUGGGCGCAAGCCUGAUGCAGCCAUGCCGCGUGUGUGAAGAAGGCCUUCGGGUUGUAAAGCACUUUCAGCGGGGAGGAAGGCGNNNNNNNNNNNNNNNNNNNCGAUUGACGUUACCCGCAGAAGAAGCACCGGCUAACUCCGUGCCAGCAGCCGCGGUAAUACGGAGGGUGCAAGCGUUAAUCGGAAUUACUGGGCGUAAAGCGCACGCAGGCGGUCUGUCAAGUCGGAUGUGAAAUCCCCGGGCUCAACCUGGGAACUGCAUUCGAAACUGGCAGGCUAGAGUCUUGUAGAGGGGGGUAGAAUUCCAGGUGUAGCGGUGAAAUGCGUAGAGAUCUGGAGGAAUACCGGUGGCGAAGGCGGCCCCCUGGACAAAGACUGACGCUCAGGUGCGAAAGCGUGGGGAGCAAACAGGAUUAGAUACCCUGGUAGUCCACGCCGUAAACGAUGUCGAUUUGGAGGUUGUGCCCUUGAGGCGUGGCUUCCGGAGCUAACGCGUUAAAUCGACCGCCUGGGGAGUACGGCCGCAAGGUUAAAACUCAAAUGAAUUGACGGGGGCCCGCACAAGCGGUGGAGCAUGUGGUUUAAUUCGAUGCAACGCGAAGAACCUUACCUGGUCUUGACAUCCACAGAACUUUCCAGAGAUGGAUUGGUGCCUUCGGGAACUGUGAGACAGGUGCUGCAUGGCUGUCGUCAGCUCGUGUUGUGAAAUGUUGGGUUAAGUCCCGCAACGAGCGCAACCCUUAUCCUUUGUUGCCAGCGGUCCGGCCGGGAACUCAAAGGAGACUGCCAGUGAUAAACUGGAGGAAGGUGGGGAUGACGUCAAGUCAUCAUGGCCCUUACGACCAGGGCUACACACGUGCUACAAUGGCAUAUACAAAGAGAAGCGACCUCGCGAGAGCAAGCGGACCUCAUAAAGUAUGUCGUAGUCCGGAUUGGAGUCUGCAACUCGACUCCAUGAAGUCGGAAUCGCUAGUAAUCGUAGAUCAGAAUGCUACGGUGAAUACGUUCCCGGGCCUUGUACACACCGCCCGUCACACCAUGGGAGUGGGUUGCAAAAGAAGUAGGUAGCUUAACCUUCGGGAGGGCGCUUACCACUUUGUGAUUCAUGACUGGGGUGAAGUCGUAACAAGGUAACCGUAGGGGAACCUGCGGUUGGAUCACCU